CGAGAUUCCCCCAGUAGCGGCGAGCGAACGGGGAGCAGCCCAGAGCCUGAAUCAGUGUGUGUGUUAGUGGAAGCGUCUGGAAAGGCGCGCGAUACAGGGUGACAGCCCCGUACACAAAAAUGCACAUGCUGUGAGCUCGAUGAGUAGGGCGGGACACGUGGUAUCCUGUCUGAAUAUGGGGGGACCAUCCUCCAAGGCUAAAUACUCCUUACUGA
rnacentral:rRNA from 1 species